CAGUAGCCGCGGUAAUACAGAGGGUGCAAGCGUUAAUCGGAUUUACUGGGCGUAAAGGGCGCGUAGGUGGUUAUUUAAGUGAGAUGUGAAAUCCCCGGGCUUAACCUGGGAACUGCAUCUUAUACUGGGUAACUGGAGUGCAGUAGAGGGUAGUGGAAUUUCCGGUGUAGCGGUGAAAUGCGUAGAUAUGCGGAGGAACACCGAUGGCGAAGGCAAUCCCCUGGACCUGUACUGACGCUCAUGCACGAGAGCGUGGGGAACAAACAGGAUUAGAUACCCGCGUAGUCCCUGUCUCUUAUAC
rnacentral:rRNA from 1 species